CCUAGGCCUGGCGCCCGGGCCCGCUGCGGCUGCGGCCCCGGCCCCGCUGAGGGCGGGCGGGGCUCCGCAGGCAGCGGGGCUGCACGCCGAGAUAAGCAGCAAAGACGACCAGGACGCCCUGUCCUUCGCGGAGGCCGCGGCAAAACAGCGGCCCAGGUGUCAGGUGGAAAGGAGAGGUUUUUCUGAAAUCCUUUAAUAAUUGAUUAGUCUGUCGGCGCCCUUGAAGGGUCAAGUCAACAGGUUACGGAAUAACAAUGUUUAUUGAUUUAGAGUGUUAAGGGAUUGGAAUGGAGCUUAAAGAUCGUCUAGUCCCACCGUUUGCCGUGGGCAGGGACACCUCCCACUAGACCAGUUCCUGAUGAAGAGUCUGUCUCCAGCUUCCCUGUAGGCCCCCUCCAGAUACUGGAAGGUUGCCAUGAGAUCUCCAGACAACCUUCUCAGCCUGUGUUUGUAAGGGUGGUGGCUGCAGUCCUAUCAACUUAGUGCAGAGGAGGCCACACACUCCCGCAGUUCCAUGUCCUGGAUGCAGUGUUGAGGUCUCACCAGAGCAGAGCAAAGGGACAGAAUCCCCUCCCUGGCCCUGCUGCUGUGGAUGCAGCCUAGAAUUCUGACACGUUAAGGUUCAAGGAUUGAUGGUGAUAGUAGCUGACUGCAAAAACAUAUUCAAAGCAAUAUAUUAAUUCAAAGCAAUAUACUAAAAAGCUCUAAUCCCUAACAAAA